AUUGAACGCUGGCGGCAGGCCUAACACAUGCAAGUCGAGCGGAUGAAGGGAGCUUGCUCCUGGAUUCAGCGGCGGACGGGUGAGUAAUGCCUAGGAAUCUGCCUGGUAGUGGGGGAUAACGUCCGGAAACGGGCGCUAAUACCGCAUACGUCCUGAGGGAGAAAGUGGGGGAUCUUCGGACCUCACGCUAUCAGAUGAGCCUAGGUCGGAUUAGCUAGUUGGUGGGGUAAAGGCCUACCAAGGCGACGAUCCGUAACUGGUCUGAGAGGAUGAUCAGUCACACUGGAACUGAGACACGGUCCAGACUCCUACGGGAGGCAGCAGUGGGGAAUAUUGAACAAUGGGCGAAAGCCUGAUCCAGCCAUGCCGCGUGUGUGAAGAAGGUCUUCGGAUUGUAAAGCACUUUAAGUUGGGAGGAAGGGCAGUAAGUUAAUACCUCGCUGUUUUGACGUUACCAACAGAAUAAGCACCGGCUAACUUCGUG
rnacentral:rRNA from 1 species